UCAUACAUACACACAAAAAGGAGCCCUACACUUUUUUUUUCUUCAAAACACACCCUCCUUCAAAACAAUGGCCUUAAAAUCUUCGAAGAACCCUAACAAACACUCUCAUUGCCAGCGCUCGCCCUCUCUCCUCUGUCGCAAUGCCUCCAUCGGCGCUCCCUCUUCCAGCACUCCCACCGUCACUACUCAUUUCGUCUCCCCUGUAUGCAUUAAACCCCUAACCCUCCUUAAGUGAUGACUCCCUCUGGCAAACUUCCCUCCUCGACGUUCACUCUCUAUUGCAAAUCCUCUGUUGAUGCUCCAUUGCCGCCGUUCUCUUCUGUCAUUGCAAACCCCUAACCUUCUGGCGCUGCAAUUACAGAGUUGCGAGGGGAGCCGGAGCCAGACGAUGCCAUUUUGGAGGAGACGGAGUUGCGCUGUGCAUGGUGCUAAUGAACGCCAUGGAAGUGUAGGAUAAGGAAGGGCGCGCACUGGGAAUCGCGCUUUAUGGUUUGGCGUUCUCUCUAAUCAACCACAACUGCUCCCCUAAUGCUUGCUACCGCUUCAUCUUCUCUCCUCCCCCUCCUUCUUCUUUGCUGGAAUCCAAGCGUCAAAUAGCUCCAUCUUUCUUUUGAGAUUCUCCUGAUUCACAAAAGAAGAGAAGCAAAAGCAAGGCUAUGGACCGAGAUUGAUUGUAAGGAAUAUCAAGAGAAUCAAAAUGGGACAAGAGAUUACCAUAGCAUAUACUGACCUCUUGCAAUCUAAGGCAAUGCGGCAAUUGGAUCUAUGGUCUAAGUACAGGUUUAUCUACUGUUAUGAGCGAUGUAGUGUUGUGCCCUUCACAUAUGUUGAUCAUGCAUUGCAAGUAAGUAGUCUUUGGAAUUUAUUUUUUUACUGUAUUUAGCUCAGUCAUGGUAUCACCAAGAUUAGUGAUUUCUCUUCCUAGGAUGUAGCCAUCACAAUCUGCAAUUUUUCCAACAUCUAAGAAAAUUUCUAUUUUCGGUUGUGAUUUUAGCUCCAACUACAAUCUUCUCAGAGACAGUAAGAAGAAUACUGAAUGAUUCAGUUGACGAUAUUUUACUUGUUCAUGUUAUGUCUAUCUUAUCUCAAAGUCAGCUAUGUAUGUUUGUGCAAAAAUAUCAUUCUAUUGUCAAUUUUUUUUUUUUGGAAUUUAAAAGGAAGAAACCUUACCAUUUAUCCUGUGUGGAGUAAAAAAUAUUUGUCAUAGAGAAUUAUGAUUUUUGAGCUCCUUAUUAAAGAAAUCAUUACACCAAUUACAGAUUGUUUUUACUGUCUGCAUGCCUAUCUAUGACAAAAAAGAAUUUCAAAUAUCUGCUUUAUAAUGGAGUUUUAGAUAAGUAUUUUCCUCAUGUCUGAGUUUGUUUUAAUAUGUUUGGUAUUGUUUCUUAUUCUCAGCCAAGUACAAUAAAAGACCAAGAUUAUUUUCUUCAUAUUGAAUAAAAAUAAUAUCAUUAGAAAGAAGAGUUGAAAACUGGGUUUAUACUUUAUACCUUUUGGAAGUGAUGUAAAGGAAGUUCACCCAGACCAGAGUAGCUUUCUGAAAGAACUAGUUUCCCUAAUUCCAAGUAUCACUUGUGAUAUUACAUCAUUAUUAGCAGCAUUUGUCUUAAUUUUAGAAAAAGUUUGAUUUUGGAUUUCUUCUUAUGCAAAGAAAAAUAUAUAGUACUUUAAAGUAAUAUUUAUCACCCUCUAAAGACAACAAAGGUUGGAACUUGGUUUUCCUUUAGUUUGUAUAGAAAGAAUCAUAUGUGGAAUUCAAAAAAAAAUUUGAAAGGGGAAUGAUUCUGCAAUGGCAGGUACUACAAUUUCUUAAGGAUUCUGGUCAUAUUAUCCAUCUAAAGAAUUGAUAAGCCUGCAUUUUCUGAAAUAAAUAUAUGGAGUUUGACUUCUUAUCCAACUAUAUUAGUUUAUGUAGCUUACUUGGGCAAACCAUUUUCGUGAUGAUUAUAAGAUGACAAUAAAAGCAAGGGUCUUUCAAAAAAUUAUGAGGUUUGUAUUUCUUUUGCUAUUUUCAAUUCUUAAUGUCUCAUCAUAAAAAAAAUGACCUUUAGUUACUGUUUUAGCUUGUGGACAACAAGAGUAUGUUGAGAAGGUAGAUCCCACUUCUGCACCAUUGUCAUUCAAAGAUGAACAGAAGCAAUAGAUGAAAGUCUCAAUUGCUUUACAUUAUUUUUCUGCUUCCAUUACUUUGCAUCAGGGUUAUGGUGGUUGAUGCUAAGGCAUACACCUAUGAUGAUGAGGUUAUCAAGAAAGCUAAAGCAAUAGGGAAGCCUGGCCUUGUAGAAAUCAAUGCAAAACAAGAUAGCUUUUAUAUUCACUGUGAAAACUACUAGAUCCAUAAAAGCUUCUCAGUUGUUGUUAAAUGCCAUUGAAAUCCUGAAGCAGAAGCUGGAUGCUGUACGUCUAUCUGAGGACAUAGUGGAGGCUGAUGAUUAGUUUGGUGAGUUGGGUGCACAUAUGCGAGGAGGUUGAUCAAAAUUAUUGUUAGAUAGCAUGGCAAAGUUGUUAGAAUUGUAAUUCAUGUAUUAGAAAUACAUGUGUAGUUGUUAUGAUUUUGAUUUUCGGUAUUUUUUUAUACUGUCAUGUGAUCAAACACUUUUUUUGGUGACAAGUUUAUGUAUGUUGGAUUGGUUAA